rnacentral:rRNA from 1 species
UACAGAGGGUGCAAGCGUUGUUCGGAAUUAUUGGGCGUAAAGAGCUCGUAGGCGGUGUGUCGCGUCGGCCGUGAAAACCUGGGGCUCAACUCUGGGCGUGCGGUCGAUACGGGCAUCACUUGAGUUCGGCAGGGGAGACUGGAAUUCCUGGUGUAGCGGUGAAAUGCGUAGAGAUCAUGAGGAAGACCAGUGGCGAAGGCGGGUCUCUGGACAGUUCCUGAGCACUGAGGCACGAAGGCCCAGGGGAGCAAACGGG